GACGAACGCUGGCGGCGUGCCUAAUACAUGCAAGUCGAACGCAGGGGGGACGGGUGAGUAACACGUGGGUAACCUCCCAUCAGAGGGGAUAACACUUGGCAAAAGGUGCUAAACCGAUACUGGAGGAUGGACCCGCGGUGCAUUAGCUAGUUGGUGGGGUAACGGCUCACCAAGGCCACGAUGCAUAGCCGGCCGGAGAGGGUGAUCGGCCACACGGGGACUGAGACACGGCCCAGACUCCUACGGGAGGCAGCAGUAGGGAAUCUUCGGCAAUGGACGAAAGUCUGACGGAGCAACGCCGCGUGAGUGAAGAAGGUUUUCGGGUCGUAAAGCUCUGUUGUUAGAGAAGCGGUAUCUAACCAGAAAGCCACGGCUAACUACGUGCCAGCCGCCGCGGUAAUAC
rnacentral:rRNA from 1 species